UAAGCGGAGGAAAAGAAACUAACAAGGAUUCCCCUAGUAACUGCGAGUGAAGCGGGAAAAGCUCAAAUUUAAAAUCUGGCGGUCUUUGGCUGUCCGAGUUGUAAUUUAGAGAAGCGUCUUCCGCGCCGGACCGUGCACAAGUCUCCUGGAAUGGAGCGUCAUAGAGGGUGAGAAUCCCGUCUUUGGCACGGAUGCCCGGUGCUUCUGUGAUGCGCUCUCGAAGAGUCGAGUUGUUUGGGAAUGCAGCUCAAAAUGGGUGGUGAACUCCAUCUAAAGCUAAAUAUUGGCGAGAGACCGAUAGCGAACAAGUACCGUGAGGGAAAGAUGAAAAGCACUUUGGAAAGAGAGUGAAACAGUACGUGAAAUUGUUGAAAGGGAAACGCUUGAAGUCAGUCGCGUCGACCGAGACUCAGCCUUGCCUCGGCUUGGUGUACUUCUCGGCCCGACGGGUCAGCGUCAAUUUUGCCCCUCGGAUAAUGGCAAGGGAAAGGUGGCACCUUUACGGGUGUGUUAUAGUCUCCUGUCGCAUGCGAGGGGUGGGAUUGAGGAACUCAGCGCGCACCUUGGUGUCGGGGCUUCUGCCCACGUCACGCGCUUAGGAUGCUGGCGUAAUGGCUUUAAACGANC
rnacentral:rRNA from 1 species